rnacentral:tRNA from 1 species
GCACGAGUGGUGGAAUGGUAGACACGCAUGCCUUAGGAGCAUGUGCCAAUCGGCGUGAAGGUUCAAGUCCUUUCUCGUGUACCA